rnacentral:rRNA from 1 species
AGAGUUUGAUCAUGGCUCAGAACGAACGUUAGCGGCGCGCCUAACACAUGCAAGUCGCACGAGAAGGGGCUUCGGCCCUGGUAAAGUGGCGCACGGGUGAGUAACACGUGGGUAACGUUCCCUCGGGCGGGGGAUAACCCUUCGAAAGGAGGGCUAAUACCGCAUAAGACCACGGCCUCGAAAGAGGUUGAGGUAAAAGC